UAAGCAAAGAAACACCUGAGCUGGGAU
rnacentral:sRNA from 1 species